rnacentral:lncRNA from 1 species
GAAACCCAUCCUAAAUACAGAUGAAAACUUUGGGGACUCCAAAUAGCCAACACAGUCUUGAAAAGUAAAGAAGUUGGAGGAUUCACAAGUUUAAAUUCUGGUGAAAUCUACACCCAUGUCCAAAUACAGAGAAGAAGAGGGCCCUUAUGCCUCUCAGGGACUGGCUGUCAUCUAGCCACUUGAGUUUACACGCACACCAAGUUCGUUUUCUAAUGGGGAAUCACACUGUAAUUAUAAUUUUGAAAAACGUGAAAAAUAAUCAACCUGUCUUCAGUCCAUUGACCACUUGAAAGGAACCACUGAAAGAAGCUCUUCGUCAAUGUUUGAAGAAGCAGUACCAAAUAACAGCCAUCAGUACUACCAGCACUGAAUGGUCUACA